UACAGAGGGUGCGAGCGUUGUCCGGAAUCACUGGGCGUAAAGGGCGCGUAGGUGGUGGCUUAAGCGUGCGGUGAAAGCUCGGAGCUCAACUCCGAGUCGGCCGUGCGAACUAGGCUCACUGGAGCAUAGUAGAGGCAGGUGGAAUUCCGGGUGUAGCGGUGGGAUGCGUAGAGAUCCGGAAGAACACCGGUGGCGAAGGCGGCCUGCUGGGCUAUGGCUGACACUGAGGCGCGACAGCGUGGGGAGCAAACAGG
rnacentral:rRNA from 1 species